rnacentral:rRNA from 1 species
UACGUAGGGUGCAAGCGUUGUCCGGAAUUAUUGGGCGUAAAGAGCUCGUAGGCGCUUGUCGCGUCGCUGUGAAAACCUGGGGCUCAACCCCGGGCCUGCAGCCGAUACGGGCAAGCUAGAAUUCGGUAGGGGAGACUGGAAUUCCUGGUGUAGCGGUGAAAUGCGCAGAUAUCAGGAGGAACACCGGUGGCGAAGGCGGGUCUCUGGGCAGUAACUGACGCUGAGGAGCGAAAGCGUGGGUAGCAAACAGG